rnacentral:tRNA from 1 species
AGUAAAAUGUCUGAUAAAAGUAAUAAAUUGUAAAUUUAUUCAUGAAAUAAAAAAUUUCUUUUACUA